UACGUAGGAGGCAAGCGUUGUCCGGAAUUACUGGAUGUAAAGCGCGUGUAGGCGGCAGGCCAAGUCUGUGGUGAAAUCGGCUCGGCUCAACUGGGCGGGGUCCAUGGAACUGGUCAGCUGGAGGACGGUAGAGGUGAGUGGAAUUCCCGGUGUAGUGGUGAAAUGCGUAGAGAUCCGGAAGAACACCGGUGGCGAAGGCGGCCUGCUGGGCAGUAGCUGACGCUGAUGCGCGACAGCGUGGGGAGCGAACAGGG
rnacentral:rRNA from 1 species